rnacentral:lncRNA from 1 species
AAGAAUUAAAUAAAUUCCCAACCUUCCUGUCUCGAUGCUGCAGUCAAACAAAUUAAUUUCAAAUUAUAGGGAGCCUGCGCCGUUUGACUGAGGGGAACUGGUGGUUGCCAAGGCAAGAAAUACACAAAUAAAUCAAAGGAGGUGGGGAAGGGCGGGGAGGGGAGGGCAGUGCUGGGGUUUGUACCGGCGAGGAGGAGGCGGGAGAGGCUGCUCUAAGGGAGGACAUGGUGAGAAUUAUAAUGAGUCUGAGCUCACUCAGACUUGAAUUUGAGAUGAUUGCAAUGAUGACACCAGGAAAACAUGGGCUCAUUGUUCAGACCUUAUGGCCUCAGAGUUGGCUGAGUGUCUUAGAGGAGUGGGCCUGUGACCAUCACAACACAACAGACAAGAGACUUUCUAUUACAAGCAAUCCCACUGGCAGAAGAAUAAAAUGCUAAGUGCUGUUUUACUGUUCAUUAGUAAUAUGUCAUGAGUGAUUUAGAAGCUGUUCUGAUGCAACUGAAAGAAACCCACAGCAGAACUGAUGAGUAAGUAGAUCUUAUACCUACUUAAAUCCAGUGAACAGGACCUGAAAAAUGCAUUUAUAGUAGAUAGAGAUCACCUGUAACUUGUUAUGUUCCCUUUCUUGGGUGUACUGAAGGGAUAAGACAUGGUUAGAUGGAAGUCUAUGGCAGUCCUUGUGUCAUCACUUUGCAAUACGCACAUUUGUGCAUCUAACUAUUCAGUUUCUGGUUAACUAUAUGGUUGUUUGAAAUCUGGUAUUUCUGACUGUGAAGAUUAUUCUUUAUUUGGUUUAUUGCCUGAAGACUGCUCAUAUUUACACUCAGACCAAGAAAGCCAGAGAAUAAUCCAAGUGAAGUGCAUUCCGUUCUUUAAGUUCUAUUGACCCAUCCUUCUGUAGUAUGAAUUUGGAUAGGAUCCAAUGCAGGAUCCUUUUAUAGUUCUUUAUUGUCUAGGAAGCCUUCUGUCUAGGAAGACCUUUAAAAACCUUCUCUAUAGGAUGACCUGAAGACCUUUCUUCAGAAGGAUUUUGGAAGCUUUAGUGUAGGUAGGAAUCACAAAGGUAACUAAUUAUCAGGACUACUACAAACUGUGCAAGGAAAACCAACCUACUAUUGUCUUCUACUUCAUGCAGUUUCUUAGAAAGUGUUAAGUCUUAGCAUGCAGUGCUGUGUCUUGAUUUCAGGAAUGAACCCAUAGAAUUGUACAUUUACUUCUUAUUGGCAGAAAUGGUUUCAAUGAAAUCAGUGAGACUACUUGAGGCUAUUACACCACAGUAAUAGCCUUUGCCAGGAUAGGAUUUAUUCAGGUCUGAGCUGUUUGAGUUACCACGGCUUGUCUGCAAGUUCCUUUGGCCAGUGACACUAAACAGAAUACUCUAUGGAUCCUGCCUCUCAUAUCCUAACACAAUUCAUAUUUCCAGCCUCACUGUAAGCAUCCACCCCUGAAAUGCCUGAACUGGAGAUGGGGUAUCUGGUUUGAAGUUUGUCAUCAUCUUCUUCAUCCUCAGUUCUUUCCUGGUAACCAUUUUUCAUUAGCCAGACUCGAGCUUUCAGGCACCUGUUAUAUCAAUCCCUUUGUAUUGCCAGCAAGAACUCAAGUGGAAUAGCUACCUCACGUUUUUAUUCUAUCUGAAAAAGUGCACUACACACACAUUUUUAUUAUAAUAAUAUAAUGUAGCAUUUUGUGCAGGAAAAGUUCUGCCAUGUAGAAAAGCAUUAACUCAAGCUGCAUAGUACUGAGUCUCUGUCUGAACCCACUUACAUCUGUUUCACAUUAGUUUAAUUUGACUUCAGUACAAUUACUCCUGAAUCACAGUCAUGGGAGAAUUACAAUCUGGCCUUUAGUUUUUCCAUGAUGUCUCCAAAGAAUCUUCAUAAGAUCAAAGUCUGAUAUGUGACAAAAAUAGAAAGCUUGAUUAAUAAAAACAAGCCACCAAAUUCA